rnacentral:rRNA from 1 species
AGAGUUUGAUCCUGGCUCAGGACGAACGCUGGCGGCGUGCUUAACACAUGCAAGUCGAACGAGACGAAUUAGAAGCUUGCUUUUGACGAGUCGAGUGGCAAACGGGUGAGUAACGCGUAGACAACCUGCCGCAAAGAUGGGGACAACAGUCCGAAAGGACUGCUAAUACCGAAUGUUGUGUCACAUUCGCAUGAAUGAGACAUUAAAGAUGGCCUCUACUUGUAAGCUAUCGCUUUGCGAUGGGUCUGCGUCUGAUUAGCUAGUUGGUGGGGCAACGGCCUACCAAGGCGACGAUCAGUAGCCGGUCUGAGAGGAUGAACGGCCACAUUGGAACUGAGACACGGUCCAGACUCCUACGGGAGGCAGCAGUGGGGAAUCUUCCGCAAUGGGCGCAAGCCUGACGGAGCAACGCCGCGUGAGUGAAGAAGGCCUUCGGGUCGUAAAGCUCUGUUGUCGGGGACGAAUGUUACUGCUUAGAAUAUAGGUAGUAAAUGACGGUACCUGACGAGGAAGCCACGGCUAACUACGUGCCAGCAGCCGCGGUAAUACGUAGGUGGCGAGCGUUGUCCGGAAUUAUUGGGCGUAAAGGGAGCGCAGGCGGGAGAGCAAGUCUAUCUUAAAAGUGCGGGGCUCAACCCCGUGAGGGGAUAGAAACUGUUCUUCUUGAGUGCAGGAGAGGAAAGCGGAAUUCCUAGUGUAGCGGUGAAAUGCGUAGAUAUUAGGAGGAACACCAGUGGCGAAGGCGGCUUUCUGGACUGUAACUGACGCUGAGGCUCGAAAGCCAGGGGAGCGAACAGGAUUAGAUACCCUGGUAGUCC